rnacentral:rRNA from 2 species
CAAAACGACUCUCGGCAACGGAUAUCUCGGCUCUUGCAUCGAUGAAGAACGCAGCGAAAUGCGAUACUUGGUGUGAAUUGCAGAAUCCCGUGAACCAUCGAGUCUUUGAACGCAAGUUGCGCCCGAAGCCAUUAGGCCGAGGGCACGUCUGCCUGGGCGUC